rnacentral:siRNA from 1 species
AGCAGACGACGAUGAUGCUUUCGC